rnacentral:rRNA from 1 species
CUUUACACAUGCAAGUCGAGCGGCAGCGCGGGGCAACCUGGCGGCGAGCGGCGAACGGGUGAGUAAUACAUCGGAACGUACCCUGAAGUGGGGGAUAACCCGGCGAAAGCCGGACUAACAGACGCAUAUGCUCUGAGGAGGAAAGUGGGGGACCCGCAAGGGCCUCACGCUUUAGGAGCGGCCGAUGUCCGAUUAGCUAGUUGGUGAGGUAAAGGCUUACCAAGGCGACGAUCGGUAGCUGGUCUGAGAGGAUGAUCAGCCACACUGGGACUGAGACACGGCCCAGACUCCUACGGGAGGCAGCAGUGGGGAAUUUUGGACAAUGGGGGCAACCCUGAUCCAGCCAUGCCGCGUGCGGGAAGAAGGCCUUCGGGUUGUAAACCGCUUUUAUCCGGAAAGAAAAGGCGUGGGUGAAUAGCCUGCGUUCUUGACGGUACUGGAGGAAUAAGCACCGGCUAACUACGUGCCAGCAGCCGCGGUAACAGAGUAGGGUGCGAGCGUUAAUCGGAAUUACUGGGCGUAAAGCGUGCGCAGGCGGUUCGUUGUGUCUGCUGUGAAAGCCCCGGGCUCAACCUGGGAAUGGCAGUGGAAACUGGCGAGCUGGAGUGUGGCAGAGGGGGGUGGAAUUCCACGUGUAGCAGUGAAAUGCGUAGAGAUGUGGAGGAACACCGAUGGCGAAGGCAGCCCCCUGGGCUGACACUGACGCUCAGGCACGAAAGCGUGGGGAGCAAACAGGAUUAGACA